UAUAAGCCUCGUGCAGGCCGUUCUCCGUCCUUUCUCGCUUCAUCUGUGCCACUUCUCUGCAUUCGGUAUGGCGCCUUGUACUUCUAUCCAACGUUGCCCGCUCCCCAUCUUCCCUGCCCACCAGCUCACUGCCCUCGGUCCGCAUCUCCGGAUGUUUCGUGAGAUAUGGAGCCUGCCACCAGGGAACCGGAUUUUUCCGUCUCGUCCAUGGAAGCACGGGUGAUGGCCGCAUGCGCAGUGAUAACUCAGCGACUCGCGCCUUUUGACCAGUGAGUGUUGUAGGCUUGGGGGUGACGGGAUCUGGUAAGAGCAUUUGUGCCUUGAGUGGAUUACGUGCUUGGGGUGCAGUAACCUUAUUAAGAUGACGCCAACUGGAAAGCCUGUGACCAUUGCCUCCGGGCGACCUUUCUGUGAUCAAUCUCGCUCCUCCAAUGUUGGGUGGAAUUUGGGUCCUACCACGUGCUAGGCGAUCCCUAUGUCAACCAUAGUAUUAAAGCUUUUUAAAAAAAAAAAGUCAGGAUAAUCGCCCCUGCAGAGUUGGGCGAGGCUUCUACAACCUCGGCGAGAAACGCUUUCUGAUUGCAAAAAGCCGCCAUUUUAUACAGCUUACCCUGAUGUCUACAGCGCCUUAAAAAGUGUUUGUAGGCGGUAGGGUCAUUAAUUUGAGACUGCUUUGGGUUAUAAGCAGGAACCUGGCCCAAUGUCUAAAGCUGCACGUAUUAAACUAGGAGCCAUUGGAGCCCACAGGAUUGCCUUUUCAGGCAGUAGACGGUGGUGAGACAGGUGACUUGUGGGUUUGAGGUCCAGCAAUUGCUAUCGCUGUCUGUGGCCCUUAUCGAAGCUGCAGCAGCUUCUACGUAGCUGCUGUGGUCAAAAAGUGGCCCAGAGAAAUAAUUUUCCUUGACGGUCGCAGUUCUGUUGACUGUAACUGAUCUGCAACAUUGUGGAAAAUGACAGCUACACCUUACUGUUUCUCUGGAGUAUGUAGGGAUCUUUAUUAUUCAAAAUGAACUGAUGUAGCUGCCCGAGGCUAUUAUUAUUGGGGGGUGGGGAGGGGAUAGGAGGGAGACAGGUGAGUGAGCUCAAUCUGAUUUACAAUUCAGGCUUGUAUUGAUCAUCUAUUGGUAAAUAACAAGGCCUUGGUCACUGUCACAGUCCAUAUAAGGUAAGGACUGGGAAUAUGGAACAAGAUUAUUGUGGCUAAUUCUGUUGCCAUUCAUCUUAGCUGUUGAGAUGAAGAUUGUGAGGAGGGAGACCAGAAGAUAACAGACGAGGACACAGCAGAAGGGCCUGGUCACACUUGAGCUUAUUUCUUGGAAGAGUCUGAGAAGACAGCCUGUCAGGCUCCUAACACCAAGGGCCAUGUAACCUGUGAAGCAGCCAUUAUACAUGAUUUGGUCUACACUUGCUGGAAAAAAUCUACAAGAGGAUCCGGAAGCUAGCCGACAUUUUUGGCUAGUACAUAGCCAGGCAGCCAUUGGAAUCAGAGCUGCAGACAGAUUAAGGCCAGCCUGGCCUACAUUGAGAAACCUCAUUUUGGAAAAGUGGAAUAAUCUGUAAAUUAACAUGCAGUUGGUUCAAUAAAGACUUUUGGAAAGUA